rnacentral:lncRNA from 1 species
AUAAACUGUGUAGCUUUAUUCCUCCACGUCAUUUCUUCUCCUCAUUUCUCUCGGUCAUCCUGGAUCUCUCCUAUUAUAAAUAAGUUUGUGUCUCUCCCUCGUCAAGACGCAACAUUUAUCAAAUGAAUUUCAUUUAACACAUAUUAGGUUUGGGUAGCAAAACGUGGACUUUCGAGCUUCCUUGUCUUCAUUACCUCUUUCAUCAGGAUGGUGUGGGAUAAUCGUGUAUGGUCUUAGCAGCCACGGAGCCACGGAAAAGUUGUUGACGAGGCGAUUUAUCGAUUUGAUGAGGUCCUCUUUAAUUUUCUUCUCCAAGCGUUACAGGAACUCCGGGUCCCUUUUUAAACUGUUCCCUCCCCUUUUUGAUUUCCUGGAGAGGUCAUCUCCAUCAUUCUUGGACACCUGGAAAACAUAAUGUCCAUAUCUUAGCCAGAAGGGAGUGUUGAAAUAUAUUAAAUAUUUCAUUCUGGUCUUGUACAAAAAUAAAUAACCAGCUCUGCUGGGUAGUAGCUUAUUUUAACAGUCUGCUAAUCCUCCACCAAUGACAAAAAUAAAAUCUCAAGAUGGAAAUAAUGACCAAUUGUAUCAUUUAAUUUCAAUGCCUAAUAUUAAUUUAACCCCUCUCAGGCUGGUAUAUGUCUUUUCAACAUGGAAUUCCAACAAAGCUCAGCUCCUUCAUCACUUAAUAGUCUAUAGGCUUUUAAACUCUUUUAAUGCCAUAUCUAUAUUAAUAAAACAAAGUUUGUCUGUC